UCCAAUACCAACAUUAGUGUGCGAUGGAAGGACGCUUAGGGCUAAGGGGGCUAGCGGAUGGAAGUGCUAGUCUAAGGUCGUAGGAGGUUAUACAGGCAAAUCCGUAUAACAAUACUCCGAGAACUGAAAGGCUUUUUGAAGUCUUCGGAUGGAUAGAAGAACCCCUGAUGCCGUCGAGCCAAGAAAAGUUUCUAAGUUUAGCUAAUGUUGCCCGUACCGUAAACCGACACAGGUGGGUGGGAUGAGUAUUCUAAGGCGCGUGGAAGAACUCUCUUUAAGGAACUCUGCAAAAUAGCACCGUAUCUUCGGUAUAAGGUGUGGUUAGCUUUGUAUUAGGAUUUACUCCGAAAGCAAGGAAACUUACAACAAAGAGUCCCUCCCGACUGUUUACCAAAAACACAGCACUCUGCUAACUCGUAAGAGGAUGUAUAGGGUGUGACGCCUGCCCGGUGCUCGAAGGUUAAUUGAUGGGGUUAGCAUUAGCGAAGCUCUUGAUCGAAGCCCGAGUAAACGGCGGCCGUAACUAUAACGGUCCUAAGGUAGCGAAAUUCCUUGUCGGUUAAAUACCGACCUGCAUGAAUGGCGUAACGAGAUGGGAGCUGUCUCAAAGAGGGAUCCAGUGAAAUUGUAGUGGAGGUGAAAAUUCCUCCUACCCGCGGCAAGACGGAAAGACCCCGUGGACCUUUACUACAGCUUGACACUGCUACUUGGAUAAGAAUGUGCAGGAUAGGUGGGAGGCUUUGAGUAUAUGACGCCAGUUGUAUAUGAGCCAUUGUUGAGAUACCACUCUUUCUUAUUUGGGUAGCUAACCAGCUUGAGUUAUCCUCAAGUGGGACAAUGUCUGGUGGGUAGUUUGACUGGGGCGGUCGCCUCCCAAAUAAUAACGGAGGCUUACAAAGGUUGGCUCAGAACGGUUGGAAAUCGUUCGUAGAGUAUAAAGGUAUAAGCCAGCUUAACUGCAAGACAUACAAGUCAAGCAGAGACGAAAGUCGGUCUUAGUGAUCCGGUGGUUCUGUGUGGAAGGGCCAUCGCUCAAAGGAUAAAAGGUACCCCGGGGAUAACAGGCUGAUCUCCCCCAAGAGCUCACAUCGACGGGGAGGUUUGGCACCUCGAUGUCGGCUCAUCGCAUCCUGGGGCUGGAGCAGGUCCCAAGGGUAUGGCUGUUCGCCAUUUAAAGCGGUACGCGAGCUGGGUUCAGAACGUCGUGAGACAGUUCGGUCCCUAUCUGCCGUGGGCGUAAGAAGAUUGAAGAGAUUUGACCCUAGUACGAGAGGACCGGGUUGAACAAACCACUGGUGUAGCUGUUGUUCUGCCAAGAGCAUCGCAGCGUAGCUAAGUUUGGAAAGGAUAAACGCUGAAAGCAUCUAAGCGUGAAGCCAACUCUAAGAUGAAUCUUCUCUAAGCUCUCUAGAAGACUACUAGUUUGAUAGGCUGGGUGUGUAAUGGAUGAAAGUCCUUUAGCUGACCAGUACUAAUAGAGCGUUUGGCUUAUCUUU
rnacentral:rRNA from 1 species